rnacentral:rRNA from 1 species
CACGUAGGGGGCAAGCGUUGUCCGGAUUUAUUGGGCGUAAAGAGCUCGUAGGCGGCUCGGUAAGUCGGGUGUGAAAACUCUAGGCUCAACCUAGAGACGCCACCCGAUACUGCUGUGGCUAGAGUCCGGUAGGGGAGCAUGGAAUUCCUGGUGUAGUGGUGAAAUGCGUAGAGAUCGGGAGGAACACCCGUGGCGAAGGCGGCUCACUGGGCCGGUCCUGACGCUGAGACGCGAAGGCGUGGGGAGCGAACGGG